CGCGGCCUAUCAGCUUGUUGGUGGGGUAAUGGCCUACCAAGGCGACGACGGGUAGCCGGCCUGAGAGGGCGACCGGCCACACUGGGACUGAGACACGGCCCAGACUCCUACGGGAGGCAGCAGUGGGGAAUAUUGCACAAUGGGCGAAAGCCUGAUGCAGCGACGCCGCGUGAGGGAUGACGGCCUUCGGGUUGUAAACCUCUUUCAGCAGGGACGAAGCGUAAGUGACGGUACCUGCAGAAGAAGCGCCGGCCGACUACGUGCCAGCAGCCGCGGUAAGACGUAGGGCGCGAGCGUUGUCCGGAUUUAUUGGGCGUAAAGAGCUCGUAGGCGGCUUGUCGCGUCGACUGUGAAAACCCGCAGCUCAACUGCGGGCCUGCAGUCGAUACGGGCAGGCUAGAGUUCGGUAGGGGAGACUGGAAUUCCUGGUGUAGCGGUGGAAUGCGCAGAUAUCAGGAGGAACACCGGUGGCGAAGGCGGGUCUCCGGGCCGAUACUGACGCUGAGGAGCGAAAGCGUGGGGAGCGAACAGGAUUAGAUACCCUGGUAGUCCACGCUGUAAACGUUGGGCGCUAGGUGUGGGGGACCUCUCCGGUUCUCUGUGCCGCAGCUAACGCAUUAAGCGCCCCGCCUGGGGAGUACGG
rnacentral:rRNA from 1 species